rnacentral:rRNA from 1 species
AUGACUGGCACCAACCCUGCUGCUUCCCUCUCCGGCACCGCCGGCACCCUCACCACCCUCAACGCCGGCACCCUGUCCGCCGGUUCCUCCACUUCCGCUCCGAUCUCGGUCACCUCGCUCGGUAGCCUGAUCACUCUGCGCCUUACGCGCGAUAACUUCCUGCUAUGGAAGACCCAAGCCGUCCCCGCCCUCGCUGCAAACGGCCUGUUCGGCUAUGUUGCCGGCACCGCCGCAGCCCCGCCGCACACCAUCAAGGAAGGAACCGGUGAUGCGGCUGUUGAUGUGGCCAAUCCGGAGUUUCUUCGCUGGUACCAGCAGGACCAGCUCGUCAUGAUCGCCCUCCUCGGCUCCAUGACCGAGGACAUCCUCGGGCAGAUGACCCAGCUGACGACCUCCGCCGCUGUUUGGACUGCACUGCACGACAUGUUCGCCUCGCAGAAUCGUGCCCGCAUCAUGCAGCUCAGGUAUCAACUUUCCAACCUGAAGAAGAAGGACCUCUCUGCCUCUGACUACUACCGCAAGAUGAAGGGGUUCGCUGAUGCGAUGGCGUCCAUUGGCAAGCCCCUCACUGACGAUGAAGUGCUCGGCUACAUGCUCGCUGGGUUGGGCUCCGAGUUCGAGCCACUCAUCGCGUCGAUCACGGCGCGAGAUGAUCCAGUAAGUCUCAGCAGCUUCUAUGCGUAUCUCCUUAGUGCUGAACUUCGCCUGGAGCAGCAAAAUUCGUCAGGUGAAAUCCAUCCCUCCGCCAACACCGCUGCUCGUGCCAAUGAUCGCGGCGGCAAUGGUGCACGCGGCGGACAUGGCGGUCAAGGCGGCGGACAUGGCGGACAAGGCGGCGGACAGGGGCGCGGUCGCGGCGGGCGUGGCCGCGGCAACGGCCGCUCCAACCUGAAGUGUCAGGUGUGCAGCAAGUUUGGCCAUGACGCCCUUCACUGCCGCAAUCGUUUCAACCAUGCAUUCCAGCCCGACGAGCAGCGCGAGCGCUCCGGCAACUCCGUCAACACCAACACCGGCUCCGCGGGGUACACCGUGGACAUGGACUGGUACGCUGACACAGGUGCGACCGACCACCUGACCAGCGACCUCGACCGUCUCGGCAUCCACGAGCGCUACGGCGGCAAGGACAAGGUGCAUGCUGCAAACGGGGCAGGACCGAGCAACCAAGACAGUUCUUCUUCGCGGUAG